AUGCCGCCCAAGGCGUCGAAGAAGGACGGCGAGCCGGCGGAGCGCCCCAUCCUCGGCCGCUUCUCCUCCCACCUCAAGAUCGGAAUCGUUGGGUUACCCAAUGUUGGCAAAUCAACUUUCUUCAACAUAGUAACAAAGUUGUCCAUCCCGGCUGAGAACUUCCCAUUCUGUACCAUUGAACCAAAUGAGGCACGGGUACAUGUUCCGGAUGAGCGAUUUGACUAUCUUUGCCAACUUUUCAAGCCAAAGAGUGAGGUGGCUGCAUAUCUGGAAAUCAACGACAUAGCCGGGCUUGUUAGAGGAGCAAGUGCAGGGGAGGGUCUGGGCAAUGCCUUCUUAUCCCAUAUACGUGCUGUUGAUGGAAUCUUUCAUGUCUUGAGAGCAUUUGAAGACACGGAAAUCACCCAUAUUGAUGAUACAGUUGAUCCUGUUCGUGAUUUGGAAACUAUUACUCAAGAACUGAGGCUCAAGGAUAUAGAGUUUGUGCAGGCUAAAAUUGAUGACCUUGAGAAGGCAAUGAAGAGGAGCAAUGACAAGCAACUUAAGAUAGACCAUGAAUUAUGUCAGAGGAUCAUGACACAUCUUCAAGACGGGAAAGACCUACGUUUAGGAGAAUGGAAAGCUGCUGAAAUUGAGAUCUUGAAUACCUUUCAGCUGCUUACUGCUAAGCCAGUUGUUUAUUUGGUGAACAUGAGUGAAAAGGAUUACCUGAGAAAAAAGAACAAGUUUCUACCAAAGAUACAUGCUUGGGUGAAAGAGCAUGGUGGUGAAACUAUUAUUCCUUUCAGCUGUGCCUUCGAACAGAAACUAGUGGAUAUGCCAGAAGAUGAAGCUGCUAAAUAUUGCACCGAAAACCAAACGACAAGUUUGAUCCCCAAAAUCAUCAAGACUGGUUUUGCAGCAAUUCAUCUCAUAUACUUCUUCACUGCUGGUCACGGCGAGGUGAAGUGCUGGCAGAUCAGACGUCAAAGUAAAGCUCCGCAAGCUGCUGGUGCAAUUCACACUGAUUUUGAAAGAGGCUUCAUAUGUGCUGAGGUAAUGAAGUUUGAAGAUCUAAAAGAGCUGGGCAGUGAAUCUGCUGUGAAGGCUGCUGGGAAGUACAGGCAGGAAGGGAAGACGUAUGUGGUGCAGGAUGGAGACAUCAUCUUCUUCAAGUUCAAUGUUUCUGGAGGCGGAAAGAAGUGA
rnacentral:rRNA from 1 species